UCUUCAUUUUCCCGCACUCUCUCGCCGGUCAGAGAGGCGAGAGAGUGUGUGAAUUGAAGAGA
rnacentral:pre_miRNA from 1 species